UGAGUUCACUGUCUGAGUCCAGGAAACAGUGACCCAAGAAUAAAGCUCGGGAGAAAGAGAAAAUGUGAUCCUUCAGACCCAGUGAAGAUGACUGAGGCAGGAUAGAACAGCAGCAUCCCUCCCCCACCCCCAUGUCCAACUGAUAUCCUGGUUUCCUACAAGAAGAAGAAGAAGAAGAGGAAGAAGAAGAAAA